GACGAACGCUGGCGGCGUGCCUAACACAUGCAAGUCGAGCGCGCCCUUCAGGAUGUUCGGCGUCCGAUGUUGUCGCCCGUCGGGACAGUAACUUGUCUACAAACUAGCUUCGAGACAGGGAGAGUAAUGCCAUAUCCGAGCUAAUACCGGAUAAUUUUUCGAACAGCGUGGUUCACACGUGAAAGUCGGUCUUUCUUUCACUAAUAGACUGCCCCGCGCUGCAUUCGCUAGUUGGUUACGUAACGGCUUACCCACGCUACGAUGCAUAGCCGACCUGAGCGGGUGAUCGGCCACACUGGAACUGAGACACGGUCCAGACUCCUACGGGGGGCAGCAGUAGGGAAUCUUCCGCAAUGGGCGAAAGCCUGACGGAGCAACGCCGCGUGAGUGAUGAAGGUCUUCGGAUCGUAAAGCUCUGUUAUUAGGGAAGAACAUAUGUGUAAGUAGCUGUGCACAUCUUGACGGUACCUAAUCAGAAAGCCACGGCUAACUACGUG
rnacentral:rRNA from 1 species